rnacentral:piRNA from 1 species
UCUCAAGGUGGUGAUGUACGGCGUCAA